ensembl:lncRNA LOC103690563 uncharacterized LOC103690563
GUCCACUUGAAUGUCCUGAGUCUGCUGAGUGGCUGUCCUGGCGGGCUGAAUGCAGGUGAUGUUGCAUAGCCAGAGCCGUAGGGACACAGGAAAUGAAGGAUCACCAUCUCGGUUUAAGAUGAAGAUAUGGAGGUCCUUGUGCAUUGGGAAGAGUGGCUACUUCUGUCUCUCUAGUUGCUAUGCUGUGCGUCCCUGUCUUCAGAGGACCAGAGACCCAUUCUGGCUAUAAGCAGAAGCAACUAGUGCACUUUCCGGGCUCGGCUGUCAAUGCCACACUCCCCAGGACUCCAGGAGCCGGUUUGACGAUUCGGCAUGUAAUGGCACUUGCUAAUACGGUCCUAGCCACCAAUAUAAAGGUUUCAGAAGGAAGACACCAAAUCUACAAAGUUAUCUGAUCUCCGUAUGCAUGCUGAAGUAUACGCAUGCCCAAACACACCCAUCAUACACAUAUACACGCAAAAAUAAUGAUCAAUAAAAUAAACAAAAAAAUAUCUGUUUCCCUGCAGAGACCCCAAAACAGGAACUUUAUAUUAUGUGCAGGGCUGGUCUAAAAGCUCUUAGAAUCACC